AGGUCUUGACAUACUCGUGCUAUUCCUAGAGAUAGGAAGUUCCUUCGGGACACGGGAUACAGGUGGUGCAUGGUUGUCGUCAGCUCGUGUCGUGAGAUGUUGGGUUAAGUCCCGCAACGAGCGCAACCCCUAUUGUUAGUUGCCAUCAUUAAGUUGGGCACUCUAACGAGACUGCCGGUGAUAAACCGGAGGAAGGUGGGGAUGACGUCAAAUCAUCAUGCCCCUUAUGACCUGGGCUACACACGUGCUACAAUGGAUGGUACAACGAGUCGCGAGACAGUGAUGUUUAGCUAAUCUCUUAAAACCAUUCUCAGUUCGGAUUGUAGGCUGCAACUCGCCUACAUGAAGUCGGAAUCGCUAGUAAUCGCGGAUCAGCACGCCGCGGUGAAUACGUUCCCGGGCCUU
rnacentral:rRNA from 1 species